AGAGUUGUUACAGAAGUCUCUCGGUUUUCUUGAAACUGGGUUACCAUGAUUUGGUUCUGCGGAACCAAAAAACAGGGACCCAGGAUAAGAGAAAUACCAAUUUUUUCAUGAUCAGGGCGCCGUGGAACUGAGCAGCCUAUAGUCGAAAGGCCAGAAAAUUCUAUUCCGACUAAGUGCGUCACAGGAAUGGCCUAUUCCUUUAUUCAUGAGCCAGAUGAUGGACAUGAAGGGGAACAUGGGCUUGUGGCCCGGACUCUAGGUAUCUGAGCCUUUUCUGAUGAACGGUGCACCAUGUGAAUUGAUUUAUGAGGAAGUUGGAGUCAGCUUGAGCGAGAAACUGCUCCAAAACCAUCCCCUCGGGCAAAUGGCAACCCUACAGUUCCAGUUUUACUGAAUUGGAGGGACAGUCCCG
rnacentral:lncRNA from 1 species